rnacentral:rRNA from 1 species
AGUCAGAGGCGAUGAAGGGCGUGCUAAUCUGCGAUAAGCGCCGGUAAGGUGAUAUGAACCGUUAUAACCGGCGAUACCCGAAUGGGGAAACCCAGUGUGACUCGUCACACUAUCAUUAACUGAAUCCAUAGGUUAAUGAGGCGAACCGGGGGAACUGAAACAUCUAAGUACCCCGAGGAAAAGAAAUCAACCGAGAUUCCCCCAGUAGCGGCGAGCGAACGGGGAGGAGCCCAGAGCCUGAAUCAGCAUGUGUGUUAGUGGAAGCGUCUGGAAAGGCGCGCGAUACAGGGUGACAGCCCCGUACACAAAAGCGCAUGUGCUGUGAGCUCGAUGAGUAGGGCGGGACACGUGGUAUCCUGUCUGAAUAUGGGGGGACCAUCCUCCAAGGCUAAAUACUCCUGACUGACCGAUAGUGAACCAGUACCGUGAGGGAAAGGCGAAAAGAACCCCGGCGAGGGGAGUGAAAAAGAACCUGAAACCGUGUACGUACAAGCAGUGGGAGCACCCUUUGGGUGUGACUGCGUACCUUUUGUAUAAUGGGUCAGCGAC